rnacentral:rRNA from 1 species
GAGGAGCUUGCUCUUCUUGGAUGAGUUGCGAACGGGUGAGUAACGCGUAGGUAACCUGCCUGGUAGCGGGGGAUAACUAUUGGAAACGAUAGCUAAUACCGCAUAAAAUUGAUUAUUGCAUGAUAGUCAAUUGAAAGGUGCAACUGCACCACUACCAGAUGGACCUGCGUUGUAUUAGCUAGUUGGUGGGGUAACGGCUCACCAAGGCGACGAUACAUAGCCGACCUGAGAGGGUGAUCGGCCACACUGGGACUGAGACACGGCCCAGACUCCUACGGGAGGCAGCAGUAGGGAAUCUUCGGCAAUGGACGGAAGUCUGACCGAGCAACGCCGCGUGAGUGAAGGAGGUUUUCGGAUCGUAAAGCUCUGUUGUAAGAGAAGAACGAGUGUGAGAGUGGAAAGUUCACACUGGACUUUUCUACCAGA